rnacentral:rRNA from 1 species
AUUGAACGCUGGCGGCAGGCCUAACACAUGCAAGUCGAGCGGAUGAAGGGAGCUUGCUCCUGGAUUCAGCGGCGGACGGGUGAGUAAUGCCUAGGAAUCUGCCUGGUAGUGGGGGAUAACGUCCGGAAACGGGCGCUAAUACCGCAUACGUCCUGAGGGAGAAAGUGGGGGAUCUUCGGACCUCACGCUAUCAGGUGAGCCUAGGUCGGAUUAGCUAGUUGGUGGGGUAAAGGCCUACCAAGGCGACGAUCCGUAACUGGUCUGAGAGGAUGAUCAGUCACACUGGAACUGAGACACGGUCCAGACUCCUACGGGAGGCAGCAGUGGGGAAUAUUGGACAAUGGGCGAAAGCCUGAUCCAGCCAUGCCGCGUGUGUGAAGAAGGUCUUCGGAUUGUAAAGCACUUUAAGUUGGGAGGAAGGGCAGUAAGUUAAUACCUUGCUGUUUUGACGUUACCAACAGAAUAAGCACCGGCUAACUUCGCG